UAAUAUAUUUAUCAGUACAUGGAUAACCCGAAUAAUCCAGUCGUUAUAUUACGAUCACUUCGAUCACUCCAUUAACCAUUUCAUCGAGAAAAGUAGUGGAUAGGGGCUCUGAAUUAUUCGAUUUAGUACAUGGAGGAAAGAUAUUCAAAGAUUAGGAGCGACGAUUCAAUUUCCAUUUGUGUAUUGUAUUUGUCGUGGUUGAAACGGCACCAGGAACAUAUCAGGAUAGACAACAAAAGUCUAGUGAGAAAAAUGUUAUGCAACACCAGCAAAAAAGAUUAGAUUGUUAUUCAGUCCUGACUUAUACAGUGUUUCUGAAGAUGGAGAUUAGAUCAGGCCUAUCCAGAAGCAAGAAAAAGAACAAUUCAUAGCACGUUCAUCUACAGAGAAAGACAUGUUUAAAAAAACAGAUUUAUUUUCAAUUUUAGAAAAACCUGUUGAACUUUUACUAUUUCUUAUCUGUUUAUUUUACAUUUAUAUGUUGAUAUUUUUUUUUUAAAUUGCUGCACAGUUUUUCUAUUCAGUCCCAUAUAACAAAAAUAGUCAGAUCGCAACUUCAAAUAAAAUACAUUUUUAUGAAUGUUAUAUGUCAUUAAAUAGACAUGAAAGAUGGAAAAUUAUAUAGGAACACAUUUUUUAUGACCUAAAUGUAUUGUCAAGGUAAAUUUAUUAUG